UUGGAGGGCAAGUCUGGUGCCAGCAGCCGCGGUAAUUCCAGCUCCAAUAGCGUAUAUUAAAGUUGUUGCAGUUAAAAAGCUCGUAGUUGAAUUUCGGGGUUAGUAGGUUGGUCAUGCCUCUGGUAUGUACUGGUCUCACUGAUUCCUCCUUCCUGAUGAACCUUAAUGCCAUUAAUUUGGUGUUUUGGGGAAUUUGGACUGUUACUUUGAAAAAAUUAGAGUGUUUAAAGCAAGCUAACGCUUGAAUACAUUAGCAUGGAAUAAUGAAAUAGGACGUUCGAUCCUAUUUUGUUGGUUUUUAGGAUUGACGUAAUGAUUAAUAGGGAUAGUUGGGGGCAUUAGUAUUCAAUUGUCAGAGGUGAAAUUCUUGGAUUUAUUGAAGACUAACUACUGCGAAAGCAUUUGCCAAGGAUGUUUUCAUUAAUCAAGAACGAAAGUUAGGGGAUCGAAGACGAUCAGAUACCGUCGUAGUCUUAACCAUAAAUUAUGCCGACUAGGGAUCGGAUGAUGUUAAUUUUUUAAUGACUCAUUCGGCGCCUUACGGGAAACCAAAGUGUUUGGGUUC
rnacentral:rRNA from 1 species